CCCUGAUCGACCUCCGCCACGCGUACCUGGACGAGCGGCCGACGUGGUACCGCCUGCAGGAGCGGCGAUCUCGCUCGGCCAAUGCCACUCCCCGCGGCUCCAUCGUGUCCUACGACUUCACAGCUCCUCCGGUUAGACGACCUUCCUCCGUUAGGUCGGGGUCAGAUGAUGUUGAUGGUGACGACAGCAGAAACUCUUCUCUCGACUCUGGCCUUCUGCAUCCUGAUCUCGCGUGGAGAGAAUCAAGGUCUCCCUCAAGACGCGGGUCUUCCUUGAGUGAGCAGGCAGAGAACGAGGUGUACCAGCUAUCCCGAUCUUACCCCCACUCGCUACCCCAGUCACGCCGUUCCUCCGUGGCUUACCAGUCCUCCUCCAGCCCAGAGU